UGGAUCACCUCCUAACAGGGAGACAACACAAUGAUUUUGAUGCCUGAGUACUUUUAUUCUUAGGCCGAAAUCCUGUCACCUUAGGUCGAUCGGUACCUCAGAUUUGAAAUCAAGAUAAUGCAGCAAUGCGUUGUGCUUGAUGAGAUUUUCAGUUCCUAAACUUUGUCUAGGUCACACCCCAAAAGGGAUGAGACUCCUGGGCCAUUAGCUCAGGUGGUUAGAGCGCACCCCUGAUAAGGGUGAGGUCCCUGGUUCAAGUCCAGGAUGGCCCAUUCGGUGUUGGGGGUUUAGCUCAGUUGGUAGAGCGCCUGCUUUGCAAGCAGGAUGUCAGGAGUUCGAGUCUCCUAACCUCCACUGACCGAACUUUAUCCCCAUCUCCAAGUUAUGGAGUUGAGCUCGAUUGGAGUGUGAUUUAGAUGUGUCCGCUGGAUGACCCCAGCUUCCUGUCAUUCCAAGUUUUUAAGUUGAAAGCUUUGAUUUGGUUGAUAAGAUGCUGGGCUCGGAUCAAAUGAUCAAGCAAUUGAUGAUUUGAUUUGAAGUUCUAGCAGAACCUUGACAACUGCAUAGGUGAAGUCUGGAAAAACAAAGCAUCUUACAGAUGCAUUGUUUUGGGUCUGAUCUUCUGAAAGGGAGAUUAGAACCAGAACAAUGAAAAUUCUUUUGAGCAAGAGCCGAGACUCUUGAAUGUUCUUUGAUUCGUGUCGAGCGAAUCAGAGUUUGAUCUCGUUUUAGGAGUCAACGAAAGUUGAUGAUUAAAACUUGAGAAUCUGCUUUCAACGGCGGUAAGCGUUCAAGAGGUUAAUUGGUCAAGCUACAAAGGGCUCACGGCGGAUACCUUGGCACACAGAGGCGAUGAAGG
rnacentral:tRNA from 1 species